UGGUGACAUCAUGUGUAUGAGCUCUAUGGGUUGUUUUCACUGACGUCACAUUUUUUGAUGAAUAACCCACACACCACUGCAGGCCGCCAUUUAACCUCUCUACCUAACGCGUACCAGUGUUGUAGCCUGCGGAAUGCUCUGUUUGUGUUUUUGUGUUUCAUGGGCGUCUUGGGACUCAACUACACAAAAGAUGACUUGCUAAACAUCAGAGAGCCGCCUUCUGACUUUUUUUUUUUGACAACUCUCACCAAUUCGCUGAAGCUUUUUCCAGAGUUGCUAGUUGGUGCGCUCUUCAAAGCCUCACGAUGAAGAGGCUCGCGAUCCGGGUUACACGUCCGACUUCGACAGCGGGAACAUCGGCGUUCAAGGCAUCACAAAGGGUGACUUUACGUGAAAACAACCCAUAUAUCCAGUAACAGUAUAUCCACUUCUCUAAAGAAAGAUAGACAAAUGGGUGUCGAUUGUGCUCCAUUAUGCCAGCUCUCUCUCCGGAUAAAUGCAGAGGAGUUGCGUCAGGAAGGGCAUCCGGCGUAAAAACUGCCAUACAAAUAUGAGUCUUCAUCCAUUGGCUGGCAACGAGUUCAGGGUGUACCCUGCCCCCUGCCCGUUAACAGCUGGGAUAGGCUCCAGCACUUCUCCGACCCUUGUGAGGAAAGGCAGUUAAGAAAAUGGAUGGAUUUUUGUGACAUGAUGGUGUUAUUAAGAAAUGCAUUCGAUUAUUGUAGCGCUAGAUCCCAAAUUCAAAGCUAGCCACUUGGAUUUCGUCAAGAAACGGGACAUGCCAAAAGGAAAAGAAGAAAAAGAACCACGACUUUGUGCCAACCACCACCUUGUCAGAUUGAACGCUUGUGUCCCACUUCCAGGUUACCAUUUGUCUCAAAGGGGGAAUCACCUUCCUUUUUUAGAUGGAUUACAUUAAGGAAAAACCUUUUAUUAAUCAGUGUCAAAAAAUCCAAAGGUUGGUCUUAAUAGUGAGUUUUUGGUUCAGUUCAGAGAAAGCCACGCUCCAACUGAUGCUUUACUUGUUGUGAUGUGAUUCGAUAUUAUAUUGAAAAGGGACAGCAGGCUUGACUUGAGUCGACUGGAGUGGUUUCCAGGUCAUUGGGGGUGCCGCUUUAAACAUUACUGGUGCAGGGGAUAUUGGGCAAAUCUCGUUGUUUUUCUUCAUCUUCUUGGCCUGUGGUAGGAGAUUCGUUCGGCUUGAGUAAAUCUUGUACAGAAUGCUGUGAAACCUCGAGUCCCCUGAUCACUCUUUAAUGUACUAAAACAUAAUUAGUGCAAUCUUCGUGUCCGGUUGGCGUCGUCUCGUCCACGGUCUAUUUUAGCUUAUCUUAUCUUGCUAAAAAAAGAGAGAGACGUUUGUAAUCAAGAAUUCGCUAAACAGAGGUUAAGAUUGAGGUAGUCUUCUUUCCGCCACAGACUAGUAAGGAAUGACAAAAGUGACACAUAAGUGUGCUUAAAAACACACUAUCAACUAAAAUCUGUCGGCUUUUUCCGGGAGUAGAUAAUAUUCUCCAUUGUGACGUCACGCGCAUGAGUUCAAUGAAGAACUACUUAUGUCUGGCAUAAAACGGAGAGACAUAUGUUCUCCAUAUUGGAGGAUGAAUGCUCGUUACAAAAAAAAAAAAAAUAAAUAAAAUCGAUAUCAAUAAUCCUAGGCGUCACUUCCACACCGGUAAUUCCUGCCGUGACCCAGAUUUGAACGACGGUUGCUGAGGAAACAACGCGGGGUUCAGACCACGAUGCGACCACAUUUUGGUGGAAACUGCCACGAAAGUUGGCUGUCGGAAACUUGUGACUGCAGCAAGAACAGAUUGUGAUCAGUCAGCAUUAGUCCGUGGUGGUCUGGUUGUUAGGGUUCCUGUUCCGAUCAGGCUGUGUACAUUUUUGAGCCUGUUUGGUCUGUGCUGCUCAACAUUGAAACGCUGUACAUUGACUCAACGUUGUUCCGCUCUUAAAGCAGCCCGAUUGAGGAGCCUGUCCCUUUAAAUUGUUUUGCCGUAAAGGAUCAUGGGUAAUACAUCUCCUUCUACUCUCUUUGUGGAAAGAGAGACGAUCACCCUUCUGCAAAUCUUCCUGAAUUUAGACCGAAUGUGAAUCGUCGACAACGGACACCGCCUUUAACGGCUUUAGUGGACUAAAACCUCAUUCGUGCUGUAUUCGUAACCGGUUUGAGUCGUCUCGUCCACGUUGAAGCUCCUCGGGGUGUCUUAUCAUAGCUGAUCUUGCUAACAAAGAGCGAGCCCUUUGUGAUCAACACUUCGCUACGCAAAGCUCAAGAUUGAGGAAGAGUACGAGGAGGAAUUUAGGGGCUCAAAAGAAGAGGAGGAGCCACUACGUAACCCCUUGGACGUUGUGUUCAAUGUGCAGCCUCAAAUUGUGCUACGAAGAGCAAAUUAUUUGAUGAUACGUGGGUGGUGGCAUGGUGUAUUAGCUGGAACGUGUUGGCCUCACAGUUCUGAGGAUCUGGGUUCAAUCCCAGGCCUCCCUGUAACGGACUUUACAUAGUCUCCCCUUACCUGUGUGGGUUUUCUCUAGGGCACUCCAAUUUCCUCUCACAUCCCAAAAACAUGCAACGUUAAUUAAAAUGAUUAAUUAAUUCAUCUAAAUUGCCCUGAGGUGCAAUUGUGAGUGGGGCUGUUGGUCUCGAUGUCCCAUGCGAUUGACUGGCAACCAGUCAGGGUGUAACUCCCCUUCUCCCUGUUGAAAGCUGGGAUAGGCUCCAGCACUCUCGUGACCCUUGUGAGGAUAAGCGGCGAAGAAAAUAGAUGGAUGGAUUAUAAAAUGCAAUAUAUUGGAUUACACUCAUUUCCUCACCCAGUGAAAUUUUAUUGUACCUCACUUUCUUUUAACCUAAUAAAUACUUAAAAUGCGGGUGACAUCCCUAUAAACAUUCUAAAAUAGAUAUUGUCAUGAAAAAUACAUAUAACAGUAUUCACUUCAAUGCCUAUACGUAAAAAAAAAAAAGUGAGCGGAGAGCGCGUCAUCCAUGCACAAAGUUGCGCAGUUGAGUGUCCCACGACAUCCAAGUGUUCGCCAUAUUAGUCGCGUCAUCUGUCCUUGACGUCAUCGUCACUUCCGCCGUUGAAAACGCGCAGUGCCUGCUACUAUGGAAGCCGAACAACAGAGAUAUUCGGAUUUUUCCAACGCCCCUUCUGACACGGAAGCUAUUUUCGAAAAGGACAACACCACACAACCCAGUGAAGUUACCGGGGCAAUAAUACACUAUUGUUUCGACCCCUCAGGGCAAUAUUGUUUCGAGCCAUAUUCAGAUGAUAUGCCAUUAAGGCCAAAGCGCAUCCCGUCCGAUCCACUUCCGCGGCGGAGAUGAACCAUCGCGGCUCAUCGCAGGCCGGCCGGUGUGGCUUAUGACGGAGCCGAGCGAUGCCCCUUUGUGUUCAAGAUCGAGCCUGUGCGGUUCAUGGUCGCACGUAACUAAGUAACGCAUUCUCGGCUGGGUUCUUCAGAGCCGCCCCCGUCGCAAAGCCCGACACGCAGCCUUCGCGGAAGAUGUGACUACCGAACGCGGCGCCUCAGCCGGUGUGGCUGAGUUUCGGCCCGCCGUGCUAUAUAAGGAGGGGGUGGAGCCAAGCUAUGUUGCAGGCUGAGUGAGACAUUGUUGGCUGGGCGACGCGAACAUCGACAUAUUUCAUACGCGGAUCUUUUGUUACGUUAUGAGAGAGACCGAUUACGUGGUCCGCUCCAAACUAUAAUUUUUUUUUAGGAGCUGUAUGCGCACAUCAACACAUUUCAUACGCGGAUCUUUUGCUAUGUUAUGAGAGAGACCGAUUACGUGGUCCGCCCCAAACAAUUUUUUUUUUUUAGUAGCUGUAUACACGCCUACCUGUUAUUUGGAACCCACGAAGCUGUCGUCCUUUGCACCCGUGCAAUCCAUUUUUCACAACGAACAGGGUCUCUUUCAAACUUAUGAAGGUUAAUUCCAUUCUCCCCAGUGUUCAAGCAAUGUCCAGCAAUGCAAUGAGCCGGCAUUUUGGCUUACAUGAAGGAACAACGAGCUACCUUCGCAGAGGUCAAACUAAUGGAAACAAACGAGUCUAUGUGGGGCCGCCACUGUCCUUUACGUCACUUCCUGCUUUUUCUUGACAACAAAUUCCUGAGAGGAUUUUCA